UUAACAAACUCAGCACCGGUGCGUCGCAUACAUUAAAACACAAAUUGAAGCAACAACUUGACCAUUGGACAAUCCUACCACAAAACCUUUCUAUAGGCCUGCAAAGUUUAUGACAUAAAAAGUGGAAUAUGAACGCAUUUCAUCACACCUGACAAGUAAACGGAGCUAGAGGGAUAUUUGCGCGGCUCCACUCACUAGCUCUGAUUCGGAUCACUUAUGUAACUGAUUAUUUUUCGAUUUAUGGCAGGUUUUUAAUGCGUUCUACGGAGAAGAGAGACUGACGUUGGUCACGGUUUGGAAUGAAAGGGAGAAAUCAGGACAGUAACACGGUGGACUACUUUUUUUUUUUGACUACGUAGUUAAGGCGGUAGGCAUGUUUUGCCAAGGCGGCCGCCUUGACUGCAAAGUGCUGUGGGAAACCCUGGAUACAACUAGUUCUUCACCAUCAAAGGUUGAGAUCUUCAAAGGCAGUGGUGUCAUGGUGGAUAAGCUUGCAUGGGCUUACGCAGUUAAUGCAAAUUCAUGUACAACAUUUGUAAGACAACUGCUUACAGCUGUAUUCCCCCCUGAAGUGCUUCUAGUCAGUAAUCUUCGGGGAACCAACAAGGGGAAGGGAGAGGCUUGUCUCCCCCUUGAGAAGACCAAAGUUGAUGCCAUCUACAAUGCAACUCUGGAGAGAUGGCCGGGUACCCUUCUGUCCCUGAUAGGGAGCAGCAUCAAUGGGAAGAUAACAGAGAUGCGGAAUAAAGUUAAGCAACAGAAAUGAGAACAUUGAAAUGUACGUUUUGUUCUUAAUAUC